CGUACUCACAGAGCUUUCCCGCAACUCCAGAACUAUUCUUCAACGCUGAUCCUGCCUGAUUCCGACCUCUCGCUUGGCUGACCAACCGCCUGUCGUCGAGUCCCUGCCGGCCUGUCUGCUUCCCUGUUUCCUGCUCCUCGUCUGCCUGUCUGCCCUCCCGUUGCCAACCCCUUGCCUGCUUGCUCCUUGUCUUGUUCCGGGCCGUUCAGGAUGCUGCCAAGGUACGGUGGCAAUGGAGACGGUAUCGUGUGGCAACAUCGCCCUCUUCUGGUGUGUUUCACUUGAGAGGGAACCGGACAGUAGCCUACCUUGGAGUCCUUCACUGUUUGGCAGUGUAGCGUCUCCCAAACGCGGUCUAUCAUGGAUAUUUAACUGCAGUUCUGUGAGUAUCCCAACUUAACCUUGAAGAACUGCAAACUGUAAGUCAUUAAUUUCUAAUUUCUCUUGGGCACAUUGAUGUAUUUUGGCUUCCUGGUGAGUUAACCCGUUAUCUGAAGGUUGAUCUGAGUAGUAAGGAUGUUUUAUUGGUUCCUGGGUUACUUAAGUGUUUGGUUUAUGUUGGUUUUAAUGAUUUGUUAAAAUGGUUUCAGGCUCCAAGUUAUUGUUGUAAGCUAGAAUAAUGGGUUGGGUUCUGAUAUCUUCAGUCUUCUUUCCAGCUACUCUCCUGAGCUCUGCAUCUUCGUCCAAUGAGUGUUGCUUUACUGAUGAGGUUGUGGUCUGAGUGAGCAGAGGUGCAUACUGGGAUACAGAGCUGUCUGAAGACAACAGGUCUGUAGACACACCCCUUCAGGGGAAACCGAGUGUUUGAGAAACCGUUGUGACGUCAGUUACAUGGACUAGACGGUUCUUUAAAAUGGAGACGGGGAUUCAGAAGGAGAAACACCAGGGGGAGAUGAGGGGGCUCCUUAUCUCAACGACUAAAACACAACUUCAGUCUGACACAGAGAACCAUGGAACACAUUCAACAGUCUCCUCCAGGCAUCGUGACUCCUCAGGAACCGUUUCAUUUGGGGUCAUUCCAAAAUGGAUCCUGCUCCUCAAGAGCCACCCCCCCAUCCACUGGGUGGUCUUCUGAACAGAUGACCUCCUUCCUGUCCUCAGGCUGACUAAAGCUGCACCGUUUGCAUCUGUGAAGGCCCUUCAUUCAGGAAACCACUGGACUACAAAGACAUGUCUUCAGAGACGUUGAAUCAACCCGACUCACAUUUUGGAGACGCCAAGCAUAAUCCAUCACCAAUGUGGGACGCCGCUGAAUAAAUAUUGUACAUCAUGUACGUCUCUGGAGACAUUGGUUGUUCUCCUCAAGAGCCACCCCCCUCCACUGGGUGGUCUUCUGAACAGAUGACCUCCUUCCUGUCCUCAGGCUGACUAAAGCUGCACCGUUUGCAUCUGUGAAGGCCCUUCAUUCAGGAGACCACUGGACUACAAAGACAUGACUUCAGAGACGUUGAGUCAACCCGACUCACAUUUUGGAGACGCCAAGCAUAAUCCAUCACCAAUGUGGGACGCCACUGAAUAAAUAUUGUACAUCAUGUACGUCUCUGGAGACAUUGGUUGUUCUCCUCAAGAGCCACCCCCCUCCACUGGGUGGUCUUCUGAACAGAUGACCUCCUUCCUGUCCUCAGGCUGACUAAAGCUGCACCGUUUGCAUCUGUGAAGGCCCUUCAUUCAGGAGACCACUGGACUACAAAGACAUGACUUCAGAGACGUUGAGUCAACCCGACUCACAUUUUGGAGACGCCAAGCAUAAUCCAUCACCAAUGUGGGACGCCACUGAAUAAAUAUUGUACAUCAUGUAGGUCUCUGGAGACAUUGGUUGUUCUGUUCUGGGUGCCCUGGCAGGAGAGCUGGGGGUGGAUGAUGGAAUGUUAUUUGGCAUGAGGUUUUUACCCUGCAGGAUUGUUUGGCCUUUUAUAGCUCAGGGUGUAUGUGUUUGGUUUUGACAUGAGAUGGUUGAAUUUUGAGCAUGGCUAGGGUUCUACUGUGUGUGUCUCCCUCUCACACCGGGCAUGGGGUUCUACGUGCGUGUCCUGGGUUCUAUGUGUGUGUCCGGCUUGCUUUGACGGUGAUAAAGUUCAUACGGCGGUCUGUGUGAUUGGCUUGGGAUAUUGGAAUGGUCAAAUAAAUCAUGCCUGAUUGACGGCCCCGCGUUUACUUAAGGGCCUCCAGUAGACAUGAAGAGCCCUGAGUGACGCUCCGGAGCGAUAUCCAACACACUGGGCAGGAAGGAGAGUAUCCAAAUCAAGUGUAAAAGGAUGCAAGCGGCGUGUUCAGAUCAGUGACUUCAACUAGGACUACACCAAUCAGGAUCAAUGGAGGAUGAACGCCUAAAGGAAUUCCACAAGGAGAGUCUGAAGUUGGAAAGGGACCUCAAUGGAUAUUCAAGAUGACCUGUAGUGAGGCAUCUCUUCCUACCUGGCUGGAUUGAUGGGGAGCCCUGUGGAUCUUGUCUUGCUCUCAGUUGCACGUCUUCUCAGGCUGAACUGUAUUUGUUUCGGACAGGACUAGCUGAACGAUUGGUUCCCUUAAAUCGGAACCAAUCUGGGAACUCCAACUAGUGCGCUCUUUGAGCUGAAGUUGUGCUCUUCAGCUGCGGACGUAAGGAAACCUUCAUUGGGGAUUCAAGGUGUAAAGAGGAGAAUGUUUCAAAGUGUUCCAUGGUACCCUGAUGAAGACCGUUGUUGUGUUCCACUGGCUGAGAGGAAGAACCCUCACAUCUUCCUCUUGGCCUUUCUCCUCUGAGUAUCCUGGCGCCAUCUUGAAGGAUAUUCCAGCUCAUGUAACUGAUUGUCACGACAGAUUCUCAAACACUUGGUUUUUCCUGAGGGGCGUGUCUAUAGAACUGAAGACUUCAGACAGCAAUGUAACCCAGCAUGCAUCUCUGCUCACUCAGACCACACCCCCAUGAGUAGGAUGCAACACUCUAGUGAAGGAGAUGUUGAGUUUUAGAAGUAACGAGGGAGCAGACAAAGGUGAUUAGAACACAAUGGCGUGUCAAGUUUGUAAAUCUUUAAACCAUGAAGAUUGUUGGAUAGUUCAGGAAUUGGGGUUCUUUUUAUUUUGGGCAGUCCUUUCACUCAGAUGCCCACUUCUCACUGGAGCUGUACAUGUGUUGGCUGGCUGGCAUGAUUUGCUGUUGGUGAUGAGGCGGUCAGGGCGCCGUUGCAGGGCUAGGGUCGGCUCUCUGUGAGCUCAACGUUUAGAUUUGCUCUGUAUGGUUUUUACCCUGAAUAAUCUAGAUAAUUGUAAAAUGUAGACACGGUUUUGUAUUGAAUGAUUCCAGGAUUUUAGCUUUAAAAUUGUUGUGGGACGUACAUGGUAGUUGGGUUCUUUGUACGGUUUUGAGUGAUAACUUGUACACACUGGGUGCAUAAUAAUGUAAAGGUACACUGAAUAGUAGUAAUGACCAACAGCAACAAACAGAUCUCCUCAAGGUAAGUCUGUUGGCUGUAUUUUAAUGAAGACCAUCGCUGGACUUCAGGAUCUUCCUCCGUUCAGCUCAAGGUGAGGCGCUGGUUACGUUUUUUCUUUGGUUGGUUCCGGCUGGAAUGUUCGGAUUCCAGUCGGACGGUUUGCACUUCCCGCCGUGGAAGGUUCUUAGUGCGGUCACUUGAUUUAGUCCCAAUGGUUAGCAUCGUACGUUGUAGUCUUGACAACCAUAAGAAACCACCUGGCAGUUAGUUGGACGGGAGUCCCCUGAGGGAAUCUGGCGAACGUUCUGGAUUCUAUUUGCGUAACCUCGAGCCGUUGCCAACAAACUAUUUUUUUCCGUCGUUUCCAUUGGGAAUUGUUGACCCUUAUCUUAAACAACUUUAAGUUUGAUGUCAAAUACAUACUGACACGUACGUCGUACAAUAUGUUGAUAAUUUCCGAUGGUUGCGCCGUACUUUUAACCACGAUGACGUGACGGGACUCUCACUGCGUACAAAACGGCGUUCUACUUGCGGGCCCAUUUUUGACAUCAGUGAAGGCUGAAAAUCAUUUCAAGGUGGAAGAUAAUUUGACAUUUCUUCAACGGAACCCAGCACCUGAAUAUGAGUAUAUUUGAUUUAAUAUCGAUACUGCUUAGUGUUGACUUCAAAAGCUGAAGUUACUUCAGCUUUUGUACAUUCUAAAUAUCUGCUGUCAUUAAUUACCACAGAAGUUAAACCCUACCCAAUGGAAUGACGUUAAACAACGACUUUGGUGCAGAGUUAGCAACUGGAUAAUAUCAAAGCUAAAAGAAUGGCCGUCCUUCCCACAUGUUACAGUUGAAGAUACUCUAGAAUUGUACAAGGUUAAAAAGGUAACAUGUAGUUUGUCCCAAGGUGUCUGCCUCCUCACCCAGAGCAAGACCUCCACUUCCUCACCCAGAGCCAGACCUCCUCCUCCUGUCAGAAGUCCUCCAGAACAGCUGAAAGGCGAGGCUGAGAGGCUGGGGACCGGAGGCUUGUGGUGCUAGGGUGGACCGGAGACUGAGGCUGGAGACCAGGGGCCUGCAGCACCGGACCAGAGGGUAACCUCAGAUGCAGGAGGUGGGGUGAGUUGCGUCCCUAGGUGAUUUACUGCUGAGACAACUGUGUUGUAACCAGACCAGGAAUCCAUGUCUGGAGGAGCUAUGCUGAUGGAGGAGCCGUGCUGAAGGAGCUGAUGGAGUCGUGGUGAAGGGACUGCCUGGUGGAGGAGCUGGUGGAGGCCCUGCCUGGUGAAGGACGUCUGUCGUGGGACCAGGACUCAGUCUGAAGAGAGCUGCUGGAGGCGCUGAGACGCUGGAGGACGACUAGGAAUCAACCAACAAGGAUUCCUCAACGUGUGUCUGGAGCGGAGGCGAGCUGGUAGGAGAGCCGUGAAUCUGGAGGAUGACCAUCACUCUACCAACAAGCAUUGCAAGUUUGUAUUAACCAAACAAACUGGAAAUAAAGAGCUUAAAAAUAAGACUAACUACAUGUUUGUUACCAGACGCUAGGGCCAGACUCGCGCUGUUUGUUCCAGACCAGGACUCUGGCUGAGGAGAGCUGAUGGAGAAGCCAAGACUCUGGAGGACGACAUCACUCUACCAACCAGGAUCCUCAGACAAAUUACGUUUGUAACCAGACCAGGAAUCUGGAGGACUGAUGGAGAAGCCGUUCAUCUGGAAGGCAAAUCCUGAGGACAACCAGGACUCUACCAUCAAGGAUUCCUCACCCACCUGAGCUGAACCUCACCCGAUCCUGUUUGGUCGGGGGUAGACACACCUGAGCUGAACGCGCCCUGAUCCUGACAUCCUGCUGGUCCCGUCUCCUCCCGACAUGCUGAGCUCAGCGGUCUGAGGCUGACGGAUCAAUGACCUCCAGUGGGAGUGAUCUUCUUGACCCCACAUGUAACUGCGUGCUUCCACACGCCUUUCCCUCACGUCUGUCACUAACCUCACUAUUUCACUACUCUCUACUGCUUCCUCUUCUUCUUCCUUCUCUGUGGUUCGAACCUUUACACUGAAGGCGCGUCUUCCUGCCCUCAGAGGGUUCAGCGUUAGGGUUGAGAGUCAGGGUUUAGAGUCAGGGACAGAACUGGUCAGGGAGGACUGCUUUACACAAACCUCUUCACUUGCUUUCGGAAUGGUGGUGACAUUUUGAAAAGAUUCAUUUGGGAAAAUGUUUUCCUCUGCUUUCCUUACAAAAUUGUAUUAAACUUCUGUCAAGUGUUUUUGUUUGUAUAUUAAAAUCCCACAUUGACUUUUACAUGUUUGGUGCGGUUCAUUUAAUUGUCCUUUAACUUGGUUAAUGUCAAGCUAAACUCCUGCAAUACAUUUAAUAUGCAUGAUUGUUAUUCAGCAAUAACACAUACGUUUCCAA